CAGCAGCCGCGGUAAUACGUAGGUGGCAAGCGUUGUCCGGAAUUAUUGGGCGUAAAGCGCACGCAGGCGGCCUAUCCAGUCUGUCUUAAAAGUUCGGGGCUCAACCCCGUGAUGGGAUGGAAACUAGUAGGCUAGAGUAUCGGAGAGGAAAGCGGAAUUCCUAGUGUAGCGGUGAAAUGCGUAGAUAUUAGGAAGGACACCAGUGGCGAAGGCGACUUUCUGGACGAAAACUGACGCUGAGGCGCGAAAGCCAGGGGAGCGAACAGGAUUAGAUACCCCCGUAGUCCCUGUCUCUUAUACC
rnacentral:rRNA from 1 species